UGCAGCCAUGUCCCUUGAUAGCCU
rnacentral:piRNA from 1 species